rnacentral:tRNA from 1 species
GGGCGCUUAGCUCAGCUGGUAGAGCACUUGCUCGACAAGCAAGGGGUCACUGGUUCAAGUCCAGUAGCGCCCACCA